rnacentral:lncRNA from 1 species
AGAAAAAUGCGACCGUACGGUUUGACAACUCGGUUGCGACUGUUAUUAAAAAUUAUAAGAACGUUACAAUCAAAACUUCAAACCGCUAUGACGAAAAAUAGCAUAUAUGAUAUAUACAAUACCCUGAAGCAAGUUGAGUGAUCGCAGUUGCGAUUUGCGAUUUUUCAAUCACAGUGAAAUAUCGCUCAUCACUAUUAGAUAGUGACCUGCUGACACUCCUUAUGAUAUGCCUUUCGAAUAGUCGGCUGCAUAUUCAUAUUCCUGGCCAACGUAACAAAACAAUACAUAUCUUAGCAUUUUAAUAGUUAUUUUUGAAAUACCACGAAUGUGAGAGCUCUUUGCUACUUCUUCAGUAAUAAUUCCGAAAGUCCUCAAUUCUGUUUGCACUUCUUAGAAAUAACACCAACGAAAUAGGUACGAAUAGGUUACACUCAUUUUACCAUUAACAUACACAUAUACAUAUUUUCUUUUCUAGCAAGAAAGUGAUAUAUCUGGCUUCGAUUCAUUCUAACAUAUAGUGGAACGUUGUGAAAAUUAGCAGUUGGUCCAAAACUCAUUUAAGGAUUUUGAUUUUCAACAGUUCGCUAUUGGAAUAACAACUGAUAUGCUCCACAUUAACUUACAGAGUUGGUUUUUAUAAAUUUCUGGACUGAAAUAUGUUAUAAUUACGUAUUUACUGUAGUUGUUAUUACAAAAUGUAAUGAGCCCUCGUGUGUUGUGUUCCUAUGCGCUUUGGCAGGUGUACCUAUAUCUGCUCAGUUCAAAUGAAUGCCGUGGUAAUCAAACACUAUUAUCCAUCAAAUAUUAAUAGUAUAUUUAUCUAGAAUCAACAACAAUAUUCAAAUAUUCUAAACAUCAAGAAUAUUACAGUUAUUUAAUAUUUAAUUAUUAUAAACAGGGUACAUUAUGUUUGUCAUAAAGUUUGUAACACAGAAAAUGUAUAUAUAAAUUAUCAAAUAUAUAACAAAAUAAUACAUAA